rnacentral:rRNA from 1 species
AUUGAACGCUGGCGGCAUGCCUUACACAUGCAAGUCGAACGGUAACAGGUUAAGCUGCCGCGUGGCGAACGGGUGAGUAAUGUAUCGGAACGUUCCCAGUCGUGGGGGAUAACUGCUCGAAAGAGCAGCUAAUACCGCAUACGACCUGAGGGUGAAAGCGGGGGAUCGCAAGACCUCGCGCGAUUGGAGCGGCCGAUAUCAGAUUAGAUAGUUGGUGAGGUAAAGGCUCACCAAGCCGACGAUCUGUAGCUGGUCUGAGAGGGCGAACAGCCACACUGAGACUGAGACACGGCCCAGACUCCUACGGGAGGCAGCAGUGGGGAAUUUUGGACAAUGGGCGCAAGCCUGAUCCAGCCAUGCCGCGUGCGGGAAGAAGGCCUUCGGGUUGUAAACCGCUUUUGUCAGGGAAGAAAAGGUUCUGGCUAAUACCUGGGAGUCAUGACGGUACCUGAAGAAUAAGCACCGGCUAACUACGUG